ensembl:lncRNA
GUUCCAAAUCUGGUGGUUUAUAUUCUGGCCUGUGGGCUCUUAAUGAUCUCUAUUGGCUUUUGAUAUAUAUCAAAUUUUUCAUUCUUAUGAUCUUCUAAGAAAAAAAUACUCAUUUUGAAAGGUAAGACAAAAUAAGUAAAUGUCUUGCUUAAGGAGUCAACCUUAACAUGAAUCUGAGUGAAUGGGAAUCUUUAACUACCUUAAAUUAGUUUUCUUUCCAUAUUAGGUAACAGAUUUAAUAAAAUUUUUAAUAUACAGUAAAAAUUAUACACAUUUUAUAUAAAUUAAUAAUUUCCCCCCUCACCUCCUUGUAAAUGAUUUAACAUUUGUGUUUAGGCAUAUUUACUCUUACACUGCUCUAAUUUCAGUUCAUUUAGUUUACAUAAGGCAUCAUCACAUUUAACAAAAACAUUGAAAAAUCCUAGGUGUGUCUCCUAAGCUCUAAAAUCAUCCUAAGUGCAAUAGAAUUCACUGGUCAAUUUCUGCAUUUCUAACUUUAUCAAUAUAAUACAGAACAGAAAUAAUUUACUGAGGCAGGAAGGAUAAAGAACAGUGAAUUUAAAGUCAGAAGACCCAAGAUGGAAUCCUGGCUCUGUCCCUUAUGAAUCCUUAUCUUGGGUAAGUUAUUUUAUUUAUUUAUCUAUUUAUUUAUUUUUGGAGAGGAAAAUUGUCCCUGAGCUAACAUCUGUGCCAAUCUUCCUCAAUUUUGUAUGUGAGACACUGCCACAACAUGGCUUGAUGGGUGGUGUGUACAUCUGCACUUGGGAUCCGAACCCGCCAACCCUGGGCUGCUGAAGCAGAGUGUGUGAACUUAACCACUAUACCACUGGGCUGGCCCCUGAGUAAGUUACACUUCUGAUAAACUUAGGGUUUCAGUGGACUGCAAUUAAAGGUGAAACAACAGUGCUGAUGACAAAGUUAGUGGAAUCAGGUUGCAUUAACAGAAGUAUCUUAUUCAUAAGAGAUGCACUGUAUUUUGUACCUCAGACCACACUGAGUAUAUUGGGUUCGGUUCUAUACACAAUAUUUUAAAAAGAAUACUGACAAAAUGUAGCAGAUCCAAAGUGGAAUAUCAAGGAUACUGAUGGUCUAGAAUUCAUACUAUGAGAACCAGUGGAAGGACUUGGGUAUGUUUAGCCUAGAGAAAAGAUAUAAAAAGUAUUUUUAGAAGAUACAUCUAGAGCCAAAGGAUGAAGUUAUAUACCAAACUGAAAUCUGCUCUCUUUUGAGAAUUUUACUUUCUAUCAAUUAUUAUUGACAUAAAUGUAAUUUAAAACAUUAAGGAAGAAGUUUAUUACGGUUCUAAUAUUCUGAGGGCUAAAAUAAAAUGAAUACAGAUCAAUUGAAAAAUCAAUUUUUAGAAAAACUCAAUGUAUUUUACUAAGCUGUCUUGUUAAGGAUUUGGAAGACAAAUACUUGAGGACUGGCCCCGUGGCCGAGUGGUUAAGUUCGUGCGCUCCGCUGCAGGCGGCCCAGUGUUUUGUCGGUUCGAAUCCUGGGCGCGGACAUGGCACUGCUCAUCAGACCACGCUGAGGCAGCGUCCCACAUGCCACAACUAGAGGAACCCACAACGAAGAAUACACAACUAUGUACCGGGGGGCU